UAGUUUUCACUUUCCUCUAAUUCUUUCUGCUCAAUUUAAUUCUGCGAAUUUCUCUUCCUCAAUUCAACUAUCAGUACAAAGGUGACGUGCAGUAACAUUUAGCAAUCUCAUGGUCAAAACUUACUGUAGCUUUCUUCUGAAGUCACAGUGCAACUUGGAUUUCCAACCAUAACAACUAAAAAUUUACACUCUGAAUGAAUUGACA
rnacentral:lncRNA from 1 species